UCGCUUUUCCCUAAUUAAUGCAUCCAGAUGGAGAGAGAGACGCAAGCGAAGGGAAAGGGAGUGGGCAAAAAUAGCUCGGCCUGCUGUGGCUUCCCCCCGCGGUUUGCGGAGUGGUCGGGCCCGGCCCGCCCCUGCUGGCUGCUCUGCGUCAAUGAAUGAGAGCUCCUGUUACUUCACAUCCUCACCUAUAUUUGGUGUUCUCAGUGCUUUGGACUUUGGCCACUCUAAUAAGGAUUUUCAUGGCCCAGGAUAUGGUCUACCUUGUAUAAGUUCCAUGGAUGAUUGAAG